UAACGUGUGGGCAACCUGCCCUGUACUGGGGAAUAAUCAUUGGAAACGAUGACUAAUACCGCAUGUGGUCCUCGGAAGGCAUCUUCUGAGGAAGAAAGGAUUUAUUCGGUACAGGAUGGGCCCGCAUCUGAUUAGCUAGUUGGUGAGAUAACAGCCCACCAAGGCGACGAUCAGUAGCCGACCUGAGAGGGUGAUCGGCCACAUUGGGACUGAGACACGGCCCAA
rnacentral:rRNA from 1 species